UACGGAGGGUGCAAGCGUUGUUCGGAAUUACUGGGCGUAAAGGGCGCGUAGGUGGUUGUGUAAGUCAGAUGUGAAAUCCUGAGGCUUAACCUCAGAACUGCAUCUGAUACUGCAUGACUAGAGUGCAGCAGAGGGAAACGGAAUUCCUGGUGUAGAGGUGAAAUUCGUAGAUAUCAGGAGGAACACCGGUGGCGAAGGCGGUUUCCUGGGCUGACACUGACACUGAGGCGCGAAAGCGUGGGUAGCAAACAGG
rnacentral:rRNA from 1 species